rnacentral:rRNA from 1 species
UACGUAGGUCCCGAGCGUUGUCCGGAUUUAUUGGGCGUAAAGCGAGCGCAGGUGGUUUAUUAAGUCUGGUGUAAAAGGCAGUGGCUCAACCAUUGUAUGCAUUGGAAACUGGUAGACUUGAGUGCAGGAGAGGAGAGUGGAUUUCCAUGUGUAGCGGUGAAAUGCGUAGAUAUAUGGAGGAACACCGGUGGCGAAAGCGGCUCUCUGGCCUGUAACUGACACUGAGGCUCGAAAGCGUGGGUAGCAAACAGG